rnacentral:lncRNA from 1 species
UAUGGCACUUAAUGGAGAUAAAGGAGCCUCCACCUUGCUCACCAGUCGACAUGGACAGGAGAUGUCACUGUUUUCUUUGUUUUGGAUUCCGUGACGGCUGUGUUGCCACCACGGUGUUUAGGCUAAACGUUUAGGCUAUUCUACAGUUUACAUGUCACGAUGUUCAUGCUUGACUACGUUUUUGUCUUUAUUUGGGUUAGCUUUCCAUGAUUCAAGUUCACAUCCAUCAUAGUACCUUAAUAUCCAUCAAGUUUAAGUACUGUUUGUUGUUAUGGACCAUAGUUGCGUUAUUAGUGACUAUAUGCGGACUGUAUAGAAUUGCGUUUCCAUGUUUGUAAACGUGAAUCAGAGGAAUCACCUCAGUAUUCAAAGUCCACUAUAUUAGCCUGAUUGCAUGCCAUUGUAGGCAAAGCACAGAAAGACACAUGCUGGCUAGAUGUCGUGCAUGAGGCUCUUAUGUGUAAGCUAUAGAUGGUAGCAGAAAAUAGACGUAAUAAUAGUCGCCUAUAAUAACAAAUUAACGAAUACCUGAGAGUAAAUACAUUUCCAAUAAAUCGUCAACUCAUGUAGGGAGUGGAUAGACCAAAGCUUCUUCCCCAUCUGCAAAUGAAACGUGGUAAUUAUGUUCCUCAACGUGAGUUGGACUCGUUCUUGUUUUAUGAAUAACCUAUAUUUCUCUGAUACUUGAAUGAAAAUACUUUUGGUGUCGUAUGUAAAUAUAUGCUGACGUAAAUGAUCAUGUGGUUUUCGUCGUAGAUCUCUCAUGCACGACGACUUUUUCUACUGUUGUCUUUAGGUUUCGCCAGAAUCUUUAGGAUUACCAAUUGUUUAUGCGUAGUAGUGGUCCUCAUGAGAAUUCCAUUCUUGUGGAAAUAAACCUCAGUUUGUCCUUACAGCACCAGAGGCACGGGGGACUGAUUCCAGAGGAGGCUACCCAGAGUGCUGCCGGAGCAGACAGUUGAGGGAGGGAGGGCGCGGGCCGAGCGGGAGAGUGGAGCCGGAACCGGCGCGAGACAGGAGGCCUUCCCCCCAGGGAAGCCCCUCCCCUCCGCGGAAGUGCAGUGAGUACACACGGCCCCCAUGCCCCUUCCUCUCCUCCCCUUCAUCGUCCGCUCCAUUCCUCCGCUGCUUCUCUCUUCCGCCUGGCUCUUCCACUCUUCUUCUCCUCCGCCUCUGCUGUUGCUGCCCCUCUCCAUACUUUUCUGCUUUCCUACCAAAUCUUCCUCACUCUUUCUGUUUCUGCUCUCACCCCCCUCCUCCUCUUUUUUUUCUUCUUUUUCCUCAUUGUAACACUCGUUCCUCUCUUCUUCUCCCUGCUUUUGGUUUGCGCUCUUCGUUGCCUGUGUUUUGUGCUCCUCUCCUCAUUUUCCCCCCUCCUCCCUUUCUAGGGCUGUAGUCGUGGCUGGCUGGGGGUCAGUGACGGGACCUUGAUGCGAGAGUGAUGUGGAAUACUGAUGUAAUCUGCGGCCGAGCCCGCGGUUAGCACAGGGUUGCCAUGAGAUACGCCAGUACUGACCAGUGCGAUCCGAGGGGGCAUGAGGAAUGUGUGUUAUUCACGGCAUCGGCAGGAGAGGAAGGGUGGGGGGUGGGAGCUGUAUGUACACACACACACACACACACACACACACUCGCUCACACUCGUACAGGCUCAUGAGCAUGCAAGAUGGUUACACGGCUAAAGUUACUUCGCCUGAAAAUGCCUUCCUCAGAUGCCAGAGAUGGAACUCAUUCCUGAACGCUACAUACUGUUAUGAUUUGUUUUCUUCCAGCUAGCGUGCAAAUUAAAAGUCUCCCUAAAUGCGUUCAGGGGGCAGUGGGAGAGGCUGUUUUUGAGGUCGGGAGCAUUUCAAUUGAUUGGGGACCACAUGAUGAGUGUGGUCUUGUGCUCCUCACUCAGAGUGAGUCACGUAAAAGCCCCUUUUUUAUCUGCUUGGAGGGGUGAGAUUGAGCGGCCUGUUUUGACCCCCUGACCUUCAUCCUCCUAUGCCUCUGUGCUCUGCAGCGCACCUCGUGGACAACUCCAACGUGGUGACCUCAGGGGAGAAGUUCAGUCCUCUAUUAUUCUUGCCGGUCCACACCCAAGCUCCGCUGUGCCUGGGGCUGGCUGCUGAAGCACUCAAUCGCCCCCCCCCCUCCCCAUCGCUCACCACCCACCCACCCCCCUUCACCCAAGGUCUCGCUUUCACCCAAGUCAAUAUUAUGGUUGGACCCCAGCUGAAUUCCUCUCCACAUUAAUACAUUCGUUCUCUCGUUUUUUUUUCUCUGCUUUAUUUUCCUUUUUUUCAUUAUCAAAAGUGUUUUACUGUAGCAGUGGGACCCAUCUGGGAGGUGUGUGUGCGCACUGGAGUGGCACUGGGGGUCAUUACACCAUGGUGGUUUCGUCUUUGAUCCUUGCC